UACGUAGGGGGCGAGCGUUGUCCGGAUUUAUUGGGCGUAAAGAGCUCGUAGGCGGCCUUCUAAGUCGAACGUGAAAUCCCCGGGCUCAACCCGGGAACUGCGUCCGAUACUGGAAGGCUUGAAUCCGGGAGAGGGAUGCGGAAUUCCAGGUGUAGCGGUGAAAUGCGUAGAUAUCUGGAGGAACACCGGUGGCGAAGGCGGCAUCCUGGACCGGCAUUGACGCUCAGGCACGAAAGCGUGGGGAGCAAACAGG
rnacentral:rRNA from 1 species